AUCAGAUGAACUCAAACUAAAAACCGCCACCUCCUGUGGCGAACCUUGAAGCCAGCACAUCCUGCGCA
rfam:Bacillus sp. 2_A_57_CT2 genomic scaffold supercont1.3, whole genome shotgun sequence.